rnacentral:rRNA from 1 species
GAGUUUGAUCAUGGCUCAGAUUGAACGCUGGCGGCAUGCCUUACACAUGCAAGUCGAACGGCAGCAUGAUCUAGCUUGCUAGAUUGAUGGCGAGUGGCGAACGGGUGAGUAAUACAUCGGAACGUGCCCUGUAGUGGGGAUAACUAGUCGAAAGAUUAGCUAAUACCGCAUACGACCUGAGGGUGAAAGUGGGGGACCGCAAGGCCUCAUGCUAUAGGAGCGGCCGAUGUCUGGUUAGCUAGUUGGUGGGGUAAAGGCCCACCAAGGCGACGAUCAGUAGCUGGUCUGAGAGGACGAUCAGCCACACUGGGACUGAGACACGGCCCAGACUCCUACGGGAGGCAGCAGUGGGGAAUUUUGGACAAUGGGCGAAAGCCUGAUCCAGCAAUGCCGCGUGUGUGAAGAAGGCC